ensembl:lncRNA
CUCCAAGGAGAGCAUCACAGCAGACUGUCCUUGUUAAAAUCAAACGUGAUUAACCACGGCUGUUUCCCCUUUGAGAUAAUGCCCACGCCCGGGGGGAGGUGCCCAACGUGGCUGGGGGAGUCACAAGAGGGGGUUAGACGGAGACGGCGCUGGCGACCCUGGCCACAGCGGCAGGGAGGAAAUGCGGGCGAGUUAAAGAGGAAAACGAGGCUGGAGACCUUGAUUAGCGGCUUUUCAUCUUUCGGAUGCCUGAGAGCAGGCCGAGGGGAGAGGACUGUCAGAUCCAAGCCGAGAGAAGUUCUAACCCAUAGGUAGCACGAGACUAGUGAUGAAACCACAGAAAUCUGAGUACGGUCCCCACCGAAAAGGUCAGUCGUGAUUUCAGGUGAGUACAGAUAUCAUGGCAGCACUUCAGAUUACUGACAUUGUUUGAUAAGCUGAUUCCUUUGGGGGAGAAAUAAUUAGUGCACUUAGCCUGAAUAAGUACUUAGUGUGUUUAAAUUUAAAACAGAUCUAGGAGAGAGUGAACGGGUUGGGGGUGGGGGGGAGCCCGUAUCACAACCUUGGGGAUGAUUUAAUCGUGGGGACAGUAUUAACUCAUAAAAAUGUAGUUAAUGGGAGUAAAUGUGACAGGGCUUUGAAUUUCUGGGAUUAUUAUGAUAUACAUUCAUGCCAGUCUAACUGUGAUCCUAACAAUAAAAACUGUACAAACAACAGGGGUAGGAGGCUCUUGGAUGUUAGAGUACAUUAGAAUAAACUGGGGAACUUGUUAAGAUGCAGAUUCCCAGACUACUUGUUUGUGUCCCAGCAACUGGCCUUUUUAUAACAAGUUGCCGUUACUCUGAUGCAGAUGCUACCUUGACUGUACUUUGAGAAACCAUGAUUGAGUUAGUGUCUGAAUGAGCUCCCUUAAUAAAAGUAAGGUUUCAUUUAGAAAUAAGAACUAGAACACUGUUCAUGUGUCCCUGAUACCAAAAUGGUCUUUAUCAUUUUAUUCCAUGCUUCUUUCGUCCCAGAGAGUUCAGGCAGCAAUGAAUACCUUGGCCCUGAUAAUCUAUUUCUGUGUAGAAAGGCCCCUUCACAUUCACCUGGCCACGUCUUGCUGGAGAUGGAGAAGUCAUUUCUCGCUGAAGUUCUUCCUUUUCCUCCCAGCAGUAAGGUGAAUAAAACUCAUUUUGUUCUAAGAAAGGAAAAAUAAUUCCAACGUAACAGAAUAAAGCCAAUAAUAUCAUAGAAAAUUAAACUAAAGAGAAAAAUUUGGAAUCAUAUAAGAAUAAAAAGCCAACGUUUUUCAAGUUAUCCAGAAAACAAGCCCAAUAUCUUAAUAAAAGAUGCUUGAAUAAAAUACAAACUUCACGGUAGAACUCAGGAAUGACUGUGAUCUGUCAAACUCAGAAGUGACUUUGGAUCAGAUAGUAACAAUGGAGUAAUAGGAAAAGUGGGAUUUCCCAGGCCGGUUUCUGCUUUAAUAUCUUUUUUUUUUUUUUUGCCAUGCCCUGCAGCAUGUGGGAUCUUAGUUCCCUGACCAGGGAUCGAACGCGUGCCCCCUGCAGUGGAAGCACGGAGUCUUAACCACUGGACCGCCAGGGAAGUCCCUGGUUUCUGCUUAUACGCCCCAAAGAACCUCAGUUAAGCCCUCACUCCUCAUUUCAACAGACUCCUGGGAGCUGACCCAAACUUGCUAAUCUUCAAGUCUGAACACCAGUUGAUGGUUUUCAUCAUCAUAAAAUGAUCCCCUGGAGCAAAGGAAAACAACUUUGGUUUCGACAGUGCCUCUGGGAGAAACUCAAGACACUUUGACUAUGGACCCUCCCUGCAUUCUUUGGGGUCAAGCAGGCACCACAAGAAGCAAAACAGCAUGAGAAAAGGCUGAGUCAGACAACAUGUAGCAACAAGCCCAGGAACUUCUCCAGGGGCCCAGGAAGUUGGAAGCCUCCCAGUUAUGUCAUAGGACAUUGUCCUUUCUUGGAACUUUGAAGGUUUCUUGAGUGUCAGCAGCAAGGCCAUCCCACUCCCACCUGACUUCUCACAGGACAUGGUAUCUCUGAAAGGAUCAUAUCCACAGGGACAAUUACUGACUGAACAAACACUCCUGAUGAUGUAAUGUGUCCUGAAAUCCUGACCAACAACUUGCUCAUGGUUGCCGUCCCCAUGAUUUUGGCUGAGGAUGCUAUUCGGAGGGAAAAGGUGGCUUCUCCUGCAGAUGAUUUUUUUAAUAAUUCUUUUUAAUAGUAGGGAAAGAAUGCAAAAUAGGAAAGGGAUAAAGAAUAGGCUUAUUAUCUGGUUAAAAUUAACAAUGAAAAUUAGGUUAGUGAUUUCUUCUCAUCAGAGCACAGAGGUCAAAGUCCUGUUAUAAAUAUCACAUCCGCCUGAGAAUUAGAUUUCACAGUCAUACUCGGUACCUCACUCAUCUCACAUAACAGAACAACAUUUCAAUGGCGCAAAAGAAGGGAUAACUAUCCUCAGAGCAUCAUAGCUUUCAGGUGCUUGUGGUGCCUCGCAGUAUCACCUGCUCUUCUCUGGGGGGGGGGGGUCACUUACUUUGACAUGUAUAAAUUAGAAAAGUGAUGAAAAAGACUGAAUGUGUAGAACGUUCCCAGACAGAUCCUUAAGGAUAAGUUAGAACAGUGUUGGGAAUUGGGAGCCCCAGAAUCCCCUGAGGAACUUCACUAAGAACUGCUGCAGACAUUUGCCGGCUAGCUUCAACCUGCUCUGACCUCAGGGAACCACUCAGUAUCAGCAAGACACACCGAUCGGAGUUGAUCUCAGGCUCCUGUGUUGGCCUAAGUCUGAUGAAAAGUCAGUUGCAGGUACUGUUUUUCUUUACUUCAAAAUGACCAUGCAGUGUGGUUACUGAAUGCUGUCCCUGGUUCUACUGAUUCUCUGGGAGAUGGAACCUCUAGAUGUAAGAGAUAAGCUUCUGAAAACAUUCUUGGGAAACCAAGGUGCAGUCUUACAAUGCAGUCUGACAGUGUAAAACCUCCAAAGAAUGAAGCAAUGGCUUUUGUUGAUGGCUCGGGAGAAGUCUGUGGGUGGCCUACUGAUUCUGAGUUCAUCAAAAUACAUCUGUAUCAGGGAUCAAAACUACAUUUUUGAAGUUCUUAACCAGAAAAUUUUCAUCAAUUAAAAUGUACUAAGAAAAACGAGCAUUUGAUACCCUCCUAAGAAUUUUACUCUCCCAGUUCUCUAGGACUGGCUGCUAUAGUACUUGUAGCCCAAAUCAGCACAGGUGGCCACCCCCCCCCACCCCCGAGGAUUCAACACGUGUAAAAACAACAACAGAACUGAAGCACAGCCUGGGAUGCACCACCUGCUUAGAGUAUCGGGUUGUUGCCGUCUCCGGCAGCUGACAACAUAGCCUGGUCGCUGGCCCAUCACCUCCUUCCAUCUUCCAGUCUAUAUAUUUUAAUAAACUUACAGCUUGGGCUCUCGAGUACCCUCUCAGAUGUUAUUAUUGAAGCAGAAUAGUGCAAAAUCAGUCUUCAGAGGUUAAGGAGGGAGUUUUCAGUGAAAAUGUAGUUGAUAAGUUUGACAUUUUUUAGGAAAAGAAACUUUUUUGAAAAGCCUCAUUAAAACAGCCUGCUAAUGUAUCUCACCAAGUAAGCUGUAUUUAGCUCAAAUCUCGUAUAGGAGGACAGCAUGAAUUCAGUUUUGAACUGACUUGGGUUCUGGCCUCCUUGUCAACAGGUUGGAGAGUUGUCCUUGUUAGUAAAAUUUAGCUUUCUCUCCACCCCAGUGAUGAUGAUAGGAAGCACUGCGAAAGGGUAUGAUCGCCAUGUUGCAUAAAGCCUUCUGCCUGGGAAGGUGUGUGUGCUGUUGACUGUUGCAGGAGUACAGUAAUGAGCACCGGCAGCCGGGGCUCCCCCAUAUACUCAGUUUAAAACAGGCAUUGACGGUCUACUCACUGUUGAGAGUUUAAGAAAAACGUCUCCACACUCAAUGUGACUGUCUUUGGAAUUCUUCGUUUCAUUAAGGUUCUCACAAAAUACAAAGCUCAAAUGUAACUGUCUACGUCCACCACAAAACAGAAUCAAGUAAGUGGUUAGCACACAAACAAUGAUCUUUUUCAUUUUUAAAAAUAUAAAUAACAACGUUCAAGGUUUGACAGUUUUCUCCUGUGUGUGUGUGUUUCUCUUUAAGGCUUUAUGUUGCAGACCCUUAAGUACGCGUACCUGUCGUCAGGAUACACUGCCCACAAGCAGGGAAGGCCACCGUGGGUACGUUCCUGAGGGUGACAAGCACUUAUCCAUGUUGCCUCAGCCUGUGGAAAACUAAACAAUCAGACACCCUCCGAUCAGUUCGCACAGUUUCAUUAAUUUUCUUUCUACUACGAAGUAACAAUAGAAAGGGGUAAGUUCCCAGCAGCAUUCAAGCUCUCAGAUCAAUCAUGAAGGGCGAGAAGGAAAAGACAGGCUUUACCCUGGAUGGAAUUUUUUCCUUUCAUCCAGAAAAACCCCCAUAACCCAUAGAGUUUAAAGGCUGGCUUGUACUGAAACAUUUUUCAGAUUAAAUAGUGUGGAGAGAAGGGGUGGUCUUUUC